rnacentral:rRNA from 1 species
GAUGAACGCUGGCGGCGUGCCUAAUACAUGCAAGUCGAGCGAACGGACGAGAAGCUUGCUUCUCUGAUGUUAGCGGCGGACGGGUGAGUAACACGUGGAUAACCUACCUAUAAGACUGGGAUAACUUCGGGAAACCGGAGCUAAUACCGGAUAAUAUUUUGAACAGCAUGGUUCAAAAGUGAAAGACGGUCUUGAUGUCACUUAUAGAUGGAUCCGCGCUGCAUUAGCUAGUUGGUAAGGUAACGGCUUACCAAGGCAACGAUGCAUAGCCGACCUGAGAGGGUGAUCGGCCACACUGGAACUGAGACACGGUCCAGACUCCUACGGGAGGCAGCAGUAGGGAAUCUUCCACAAUGGGCGAAAGCCUGACGGAGCAACGCCGCGUGAGUGAUGAAGGUCUUCGGAUCGUAAAACUCUGUUAUUAGGGAAGAACAUAUGUGUAAGUAACUGUGCACAUCUUGACGGUACCUAAUCAGAAAGCCACGGCUAACUACGUG